GUCGCCGUCACGUAAAAUUGGCACCAUGUUUUUUGUCAAAAUUUUCUUAAAUAUCGACCGCGUUUACUAAAGAUCAUGUUUUUCAAUUAGCGGAAUCAAAUAUCAUUCCAAAAAACAACUACUGUCCUACCUUUUAUUGUGUUUGCACUGUAUAAUCCUGGCCUUCACAUAAUCCAAGAUUAAUUUGUAUGGUGGAAUCCGACAUUGUUAUUACCGGAAGUGUUGCCGUGGAGUUCCACGUGCUCUCAAUUUUUUUGUGUCUCUCGGAGCUUUUCGUCAUCUUUACGUAAAAAGCGCGGGAAAUUGUAUCAUCAAUGAUAUUACCGGAGAGUAACGAAUGUUAUGGAAUAAGGGACCCUCAUAGAAACCAAGAUGGCGGUUAUACAAUGUAAAUAUAAUCUUGAAAAAUGUGAAGGUCAGGAUUAUACAGUGCAAACACAAUAAAAGGUAGGACAGUAGUGGAUAUUUGGACAGGAUUUUACUUCCGCUAAAAGAAAAACAUCAUCUUGAGUAAACGCGGCUGAUAUUUAAAAUUUUUUUAACAAAAAA
rnacentral:lncRNA from 1 species